rnacentral:rRNA from 1 species
CCCUUAGAUGUUCUGGGCCGCACGCGCGCUACACUGACUACUUCAACGAGUUGUUUCCUUGAUCGAAAGGUCUGGGUAAUCUUUGAAAGGUAGUCGUGAUGGGGAUAGAUCCUUGCAAUUUUUGAUCUUCAACGAGGAAUUCCUAGUAAACGCAAGUCAUCAGCUUGCAUUGAUUACGUCCCUGCCCUUUGUACACACCGCCCGUCGCACCUACCGAUUGAAUGGUCCGGUGAAAUCUUCGGAUCUGAGAGAUGUCUGAUUAAUUUCGGACGCCUUUUGGAAAAGUUGCUUAAACCUUACCAUUUAGAGGAAGGUGAAGUCGUAACA